AUACGGAGGAUCCGAGCGUUAUCCGGAUUUAUUGGGUUUAAAGGGAGCGUAGGUGGAUUGUUAAGUCAGUUGUGAAAGUUUGCGGCUCAACCGUAAAAUUGCAGUUGAAACUGGCAGUCUUGAGUACAGUAGAGGUGGGCGGAAUUCGGGGGGUAGCGGUGAAAUGCUUAGAUAUCACGAAGAACUCCGAUUGCGAAGGCAGCUCACUAGACUGCAACUGACACUGAUGCUCGAAAGUGUGGGUAUCAAACAGGAUUAGAUACCCUGGUAGUCCACACAGUAAACGAUGAAUACUCGCUGUUUGCGAUAUACAGUAAGCGGCCAAGCGAAAGCAUUAAGUAUUCCACCUGGGGAGUACGCCGGCAACGGUGAAACUCAAAUGAAUUGACGGGG
rnacentral:rRNA from 1 species